rnacentral:rRNA from 1 species
GGGGGAGCAAUCCCUAGCGGCGAACGGUCGCGUAACACGUAAGCAACCUGCCCGAAAGACCGGGACAACAGCUCGAAAGGGCUGCUAAUACCGGAUGUGUCCACCUUUUCUCAUGGAGAGGUGAGUAAAUCAUUUAUGGCUUUCGGAGGGGCUUGCGGCCUAUCAGCUAGAUGGCGGUGUAACGGACCACCAUGGCGACGACGGGUAGCUGGUCUGAGAGGAUGGUCAGCCGGACUGGGACUGAGAUACGGCCCAGACUCCUACGGGGGGCAGCAAUUAGGAAUCUUGUGCAAUGGGCGAAAGCCUGACACAGCGACGCCGCGUGAGGGAGGAAGGCCUUCGGGUUGUAAACCUCUUUUGACGAGGAAGAACACAAUGACGGUACUCGUCGAAUAAGCCCCGGCUAACUCCGUGCCAGCAGCCGCGGUAAUACGGGGGGGGCGAGCGUUGUCCGAAGUUACUGGGCGUAAAGCGCGUGUAGGCGGGUUGUUAAGUCCGCUGUGAAAGCCCCGUGCUCAACGCCGGAGGGUCGGUGGAUACUGGCAGUCUUGAAGUGGCUAGGGGGAAAUGGAAUUACCGGUGUAGCGGUGAAAUGCGUAGAUAUCGGUAGGAACACCAGUGGCGAAGGCGGUUUCCUGGAGCUAACUUGACGCUGAGACGCGAAAGCUGGGGGAGCAAACGGGAUUAGAUACCCCGGUAGUCCCAGCCCUAAACGAUGGAUACUAGGUGUCAGGGGUAUCGACCCCUCUGGUGCCGCAGCUAACGCAGUAAGUAUCCCGCCUGGGGAGUACGGCCGCAAGGUUGAAACUC